ACAUGCUGACCAGGGGCGGACGGGUGAGCAUGCAUAGGAAUGGGCGCGGUAGCGGGGGAUAACCUGGGGAAACCCAGGCUAAUACCGCAUACGUCCUACGGGAGAAAGGGGGCUCCGGCUCCCGCUAUUGGAUGAGCCUAUGUCGGAUUAGCUAGUUGGUGAGGUAAUGGCUCACCAAGGCAACGAUCCGUAGCUGGUCUGAGAGGAUGAUCAGCCACAUCGGGACUGAGACACGGCCCGAACUCCUACGGGAGGCAGCAGUGGGGAAUAUUGGACAAUGGGGGGAACCCUGAUCCAGCCAUGCCGCGUGUGUGAAGAAGGCCUUCGGGUUGUAAAGCACUUUCAGCGAGGAAGAACGCCUAGGGGUUAAUACCCCCUAGGAAAGACAUCACUCGCAGAAGAAGCACCGGCUAACUCCGUGCCAGCAGCCGCGGUAAUACGGAGGGUGCAAGCGUUAAUCGGAAUUACUGGGCGUAAAGCGCGCGUAGGUGGCUUGAUAAGCCGGUUGUGAAAGCCCCGGGCUCAACCUGGGAACGGCAUCCGGAACUGUCAAGCUAGAGUGCAGGAGAGGAAGGUAGAAUUCCCGGUGUAGCGGUGAAAUGCGUAGAGAUCGGGAGGAAUACCAGUGGCGAAGGCGGCCUUCUGGACUGACACUGACACUGAGGUGCGAAAGCGUGGGUAGCAAACAGGAUUAGAUACCCUGGUAGUCCACGCCGUAAACGAUGUCGACCAGCCGUUGGGUGCCUAGCGCACUUUGUGGCGAAGUUAACGCGAUAAGUCGACCGCCUGGGGAGUACGGCCGCAAGGUUAAAACUCAAAUGAAUUGACGGGGCCCGCACAAGCGGUGGAGCAUGUGGUUUAAUUCGAUGC
rnacentral:rRNA from 1 species